AUGUCACAGGAAAGGAUGUUGGAGGAAGUUGUGUCCCCCUUUCUUAUGCAGUUAUCGAAAGCAAGAGUUCAUUCGUUGACACUGGACGGGGAUAGUUUACCUUCAGAGAUCAAACUUCUGUUUGAAAAUAUCGAGAGAGAAGCACGUGACAUGGAGGAUGUACUAAAGCGGGUGUCUAGAUGGGAAAGUGAGAUUAUCAAUGACUUCGGAGGAAUUGCUCGGCAUUUAGAUGACAUCAUAGAAGAAGAUAGCCAGCAGCAAUUUGUACAUUCCAAGCUUCAGAUUGUGAACACCGAAAUGUCCAACUUAAAAGACCGCAUGAAAUUUCCUCUCCAUGUUCCUUUGAUCAAGCCAGCAGCUCCUGCGUUGUUAUCAUCAUCUUUACCGUCCAAAUUGCUGUCUGCAGAUGCUUCAGAGCAAUGGAAAAAACUGGAGAUUGAGAAGAAAAUCCUUGAGAGCUCCAUGAUAUCUAAUUUGCAGCUCAGCUAUUAUAAUCUUGAUAUUCAGCUGAAGCUGUGCUUGUUAUGCUUCUCUAUAUUCCCAGAAAAUUGCAUUAUUAGCAAGAGGGCUAUGAUCCAUUGGUGGAUUGGUGAAGGGCUAGUAGAGGCCACAAGAAGUCAGACAGCUGAAGAUAUUGGGAAGGAGUGCUUUGAGAGGUUAAUCACUGCAGAGAUGAUUGAACCUGUACGUCAUAAACGUAACUGUACUGUGAACCAAUGUACUCGCCGUGCUUGUCUAGUCGGAGAACAUAUUCAGGUAACAGAGACGACACCACUCAGAAAUCAGUCCAAUCCAGAUUACCUUCUUGCAAUAUUCAAUGUGAGCGAGCAAUACCUCCAGUUCGACAAGAAUUGGUUCUUGGAUUUGAGGAAGAUCGAAGUUCUCCAACUAGGUCGGUGGCAUAACUUGUACCGACACCAUAUUGAGGUUGACAGCACGGAAUAUUUGGAAGGGUUGCAGUCAUGCAAACAAUUGAAAUAUCUUUGUCUGCGGGGUAUCUCCCGUAUCACAGAGCUUCCUGCUUCGAUCGGCGCACUCUCAAAUCUCAGGAUCUUGGAUCUUCAUGCUUGUCAUAACCUUGAGAGGCUUACUGAGAGCAUCACGUCUCUUCAGAUGCUGACCCACCUGGACGUUUCAGAAUGCUACCUUUUGGAGGGCAUGCCAAGGGGCAUUGGUUUGCUUACUGAACUCCAAGUGCUGAAAGGGUUUGUCAUUGGUGGAUCUACAGGCAAGUACAAUUGUCAGGUAGCGGAGCUGGUCAGGCUGGGCAAGCUGAAGAAGCUUAGCAUAUAUAUUGGAAGCAAAGUUCUAGUGACAGAAGACGAACUGCAUGAAGUUGAGAACAUCAAAGCCCUUCGUGUGCUGACAAUUACAUGGGCUGUGUUGCUGUCAACGAAAGGAGCGGAUGAACAAGAUUCAACAGCAACAGCAUUGUUAAAUUCGUUAUCCCUUCCUCCCCAUCUCGAGAAGCUAGACUUGCGUUGCUUCCCUGGUGAGAACAUACCUGUUUGGUUGAGUCCGAGUAGGCUGUUGAGACUACGGAGGCUCUACUUCACAGGAGGAAUGCUGCGCACUUUUGGAGAGAAGAGCAUGUCCGAGCAGUGGAACAUUGAGAUAAUGCGUUUGAAGUUCUUGAAUGACUUGGUACUAGAAUGGACCCAGGUGAAUGAGAUGUUUCCGAACCUGACCUUCCUGGAGGUAUUCAGAUGCAGCAACAUAGAAUCUUUCCCUUGUGACAAGGAUGGAGUGUGGAUGAACUGUGACACCCAGGAAACCAGAGAGUAG
rnacentral:rRNA from 1 species